UUGAAUGGUGUCUGUGAGUAUAACAGAACUCAUAUGGCAGGCCAAAACCUGAGAAGAUUCCAUACAGGAAGUGCCCUGUUUGACAAUUUGUUGUCCUUCUGUUGCAUCUCUAUCGACAUUACAGCAUCUCUGCUGUAACGUGACAUUUUCUAAGGCUUCCAUUGGCUCCCUAAAGCCGCCAGAAAGUGGAAUGGGGUGUCUGCUGUCGCUGGGCAAAGUACAGCAGCUCUGUUUGUGAGUGGUCAGCCUGGGGACAGUGAGACUGGAGAUGUGUGGUCACAAGACUUCUCCAUUUUUUUCUUUCAGCUUUUGAAUGAAUACAACGUUGCCCGGUUGGAAUAUUAUCGCUAUUUUACGAGAAAAAUAGCAUAAAAAUUGAUUUUAAACAGCGUUUGACAUGCUUCUAAGUACGGGAAUGGAAUAUUUUGAAUUUUUUUGUCACGAAAUGCGCUCGCACAUCACCCUUCGGAUAGUGACCUGAACGCGCGAACAAAACGGAACUAUGUGGAUAUAACUAUGGAUUACUUGGAACCAAAACAACAUUUGUUGUUGAAGUAGAAGUCCUGGGAGUGCAUUCUGACGGAGAACAGCAAAGGGGGCAGUAUUUUCACGGCCGGAUGAAAAACGUACCCAAAUUAAACUGCCUCCUACUCAGACUCAGAAGGCCUACUGCAAGUAGCCUAUAUGCAGCCAAGACAGAAAGAUAAAUGGGGUCAGAGACCCACUAAAGAAGCACCGCCCCCUCAAGAGUCUGGGCCUGCCUGGCAAUGUUCGUCCAAAAAGCCAAAGCCCCUGGGAAAUAUUAGGUUUUAUUACAUACAGUUGGGAGGAACCAUUGGACAUAAGAGCAACGUCAACUCACCAACAUUACAACCAGGAAUAUGACUUUCCCGAAGCGGAUCCUCUGUUUGGUCCACCACCCAGGACAAUGGAUCGGAUCCCAGCCGGCGACCCAAAACAACGGCACCGCAGAGGAUGCAGACGGAGCAGUCUUCUGGUCAGGCUCCGUAGACGGGCACCGCUCGAGCAUACUACUCGCCAAUGUCCAGUCUCUUGACAACAAGGUAGAUGAAAUCCGAGCAAGGGUUGCCUUCCAGAGAGACAUCAGAGAUUGUAACGUUCUUUGUUUCACGGAAACAUGGCUCACUCGGGAUACGUCAUCAGAGUCGGUACAGCCACCUGGCUUCUUCACGCAUCGUGCCAACAGAAACAAACAUAUCUCUGGUAAGAAGAAGGGCGGGGUGUAUGCCUUAUGAUUAACGAGACGUGGUGUGAUCAUAACAACAUACAGGAACUCAAGUCCCUUUGUUCACCUGACCUAGAAUUCCUUACUAUCAAAUGCCGACCGCAUGAUCUACCAAGAGAAUUCUCUUCGAUCAUAAUCACAGUCGUGUAUAUCCCGCCCCAAUCAGACACAUCGACGGCCCUGAAAGAACUUCAUUUGAUGCUAUGCAAACUGGAAACCUCAUAUCCUGAGGCUGCAUGUAUUGUAGCUGGGGAUUUUAACAAGGCUAAUCUGAAAACAAGGCUCCCUAAAUUUUAUCAGCAUAUUGAAUGCGCGACCCGGUCUGGCAAAACCAUGG
rnacentral:lncRNA from 1 species